GUUGGCGUCAUUCCAGUUCCAAACGGCGAGGUGGGGGGAGUGCCGGUGUGCCGUCUAGGAUCUGGAAUCAGUCGCUUGACGCUUCCUGAGUGUGGCCAGGCGUGUGCGGUCGCUGUGAACUGCAAAAUCGUUUGGAAGAGACUUUAAAACGUUUGCUGUUUCCCUGUUCGAUAAACAGAGAAGGGCGUUCAAGAAAUCAACGGCUUUAGCUGAAGCCUGAUUUGAAGUCAAUUGGAUUCAUAUUUGACAAGUUUUCAAACAAGUAUCCACAGAAUCUAAAUAUUUAAGAUCGCUCACAAUUAGAGUAUCUGCUGCUCUGUGUUACUCUAAAGCAUAAAGAUUACCUGUCAAUCAGAAACAACCAUGGCGGAGGGAGGAGUCAAACCAAAUAUAUCACAGCAAGCACUUGUGAAAAAUGAGAUCCCAGAUGUGAAAUUCAUUUCUACUCCAUCUGGGGAAGUUACUCCAACAAGAGCAUCAUCAGCUGCCUCAGGAGGAAGAAGAAUAACAGCCCAGCAAGGCAUAUCUGUUGCUAUUCUCUGCUUCAUAAAUCUGAUCAAUUACAUGGACCGGUUCACAGUGGCUGGCAUCCUGACUGAAAUCCAGGACCACUAUGGUGUCAACGACUCAAUGGCUGGACUGCUGCAGACUGUGUUCAUAGUCUCCUACAUGAUAUUUGCUCCUCUGUUUGGGUUCCUCGGUGACCGGUACAACAGGAAGUGGAUCAUGGCUCUGGGGGUGUUCAUCUGGUCACUGACUACACUGCUUGGCUCAUUUAUGGAGACGUUCACCGGGUUCAUCCUGAUGCGUGCCGCGGUGGGUAUCGGCGAGGCCAGCUACUCGACGAUCGCGCCCACCCUCAUCUCCGACAUGUUCGCCAAGGACCUGCGCUCCAUCAUGCUGGCCGUCUUCUACUUCGCCAUCCCCAUCGGCAGCGGUCUGGGCUACAUCGUCGGCUCUGGCGCCUCUUCGCUGGCCGGCCAGUGGCAGUGGGGGCUGCGCGUGACGCCCAUCCUGGGAGCCGUCGCCGUCAUCCUGCUGAUUGUGGUGCUGGUCGACCCGCCACGUGGAGAGAGUGAGGGCACGUCCAACCUGCAGCCCACCACGUGGUCGCAGGACCUCAAGGCCCUCGUCAGAAAUCCGAGUUUCGUGCUGGGCACUCUGGGCUUCACGUGCGUGGCUUUCGUUGCCGGAGCCCUCUCGUGGUGGGGCCCCAAAUACGUCACCGACGGCCUCAAGCUGCAGGUCGGAGACGAGAACGCCGACAUCAACGACGUGUCGUUCAUAUUCGGCGUGGUGACCAUGCUGGCCGGCCUGGUGGGCGUCUCCCUGGGCUCGUUCUCCGCUACCCGGCUGCGGCCGCGCUUCCCGCGCGCUGACCCGGUGGUCUGUGCUGCCGGUCUGCUGCUCUCCAUGCCGUUCAUGUUCGGCGGCGCCAUCGUGUGCCAGUACAGCACCAACUGGGCGUAUGUGCUGCUGUUCAUCGGACAGGUGUUCCUCAACCUCAACUGGUCCAUCGUGGCGGAUAUGCUGCUGUACGUGGUGGUACCGACGCGCCGCUCCACGGCCGAGGCGUUCCAGAUCCUGGCCUCGCACCUGUUCGGAGAUGCCGGUAGUCCCUACCUGAUCGGCAUUGUCUCGGACGCCCUGCAGCGCUAUUUCUCGUCCUCCUCCGACCCGACGUCCUCGGCAGCGGCCGUCCAGGCGGCGGCCAACUCCACGCUCGGCCUGCCGCCCAACGCCACUGAGGCCAGCCUCGUGGAGACGGUAUCGCUCGCGCUGGCCGCCCCCAGCUCGGGAAACGACGACGUCGACACGUACACCCAGUUCAAGAGCAUGCAGUACGCCCUGUUCAUCACCAUGUUCGUGGAGGUGCUGGGCGGAGUGUUCUUCCUCAUCAACGCGGCCUACAUCGUCCGAGAUCGGGAACGGGCGCGCCGCCUGACGGCCGCGGUGCGGGCCGCCCUGGGGCGAUUCCGGUAUCUGAAGCGCCCUCGCUCCUCUUCCGUGCCUCCGCCGGUGGAGAUUGGCCGCUUCCACCGCCGGCUCAUGUCCACCUGAGUCCACAUCCUCGCCUGUCCACCCGGUCCACAUCGGACUUCCACACCUGACUGGCUCACGGCGGCAAUCCGGACGCUGUGGCCGACAUACCAACCAACCACGUCUUCGCCGACGACCCCAUGUUCCGGGAACAGACCAGGGAGCUGCUCUCCUAGGCCGCCGCUUGGAGCGACAUCUGCCGGCGGCGGCGGCAAGCUGCAGUGCGCCGCGCCGCCGCCGCCGCCCGGACUCGCGGCUAGUGGUGGCGUCUGGUCGCGUCUGUGGUCGUCUGUCGGGUUCGGCUCGUGGUGUGUGGCUGGUGCCGUCCCGUGGCCGCCGCCGCCGGCCGCUGGCUGUCCUUAGUGUGGUACCACGGGUUGUGAGACCAGUCUGUCUGUAAUGCGGGUGGCUGACUUAGUCAAAUGUCAACAAAUCGCCGGUAUCGGCCCCUCACUGGGCCUCAGUUCGCCCCUCAGUCAAGUGGGCAUUGCUGAAUCGGAACACUAACGCAGUCAGGCGCGAGCGCGUCCGCUGAGCUUGCCAAUUCAACCGUGUUCUUCCAGUUGCUCAAGCGGCGUGCGGCGCGCUCUCGAGCGUGACUGGGACGCGCAGCGCUCCCCGGCCACUAGCAGGGCCCGAUCUCUCCGCUCGGCUUGUGCCGCGUCCCCCGCGCUCGUCCCUGUACACGGUCCCUCUGUCAGAGGUUGUACGUGGUCCUGUGCUGGAGCCUGUAUCACGACCACCCGCCCUGUUCUAGAAAUGAUGGGAGUACCGCCGGAGGCCCUGGAUCAGUGGAACGUGUUCCAUCCAGAGUGGCUGGAGCAGCUGCAGGCCCGCAAGCAGGAGUCAAACGCGGCGGAAAUCUCGUCUGUUGGCUCUGGAGGGCGAUAGUACUCGGCUGAUCUAUACUACGGAGCCGUGAUGGCCGUGCGUGAGCUCUGACGGAGCCAUGGUGGCGGUACGUGAGCUCUAACGGAGCCACAGCGGCCGUUCAUGAGCUCUAACGGAGCCACAGCGGCCGUUUAUGAGCUCUAACGGAGCCGCGACCACCGUCUGUGAGCUCCCAUCUCUGUCAGAGUCAUGGCAGCUGUGAGGGAGUCUGGGCGAUACGGCGGGGCUGUACGGCCGUGAUAAGCCCGCGGGGCUGUCGGAGCUGGGCGGGAGCUCUGACGGCCGCCGGCCCACCGUGUGUGAUAGUUGUACUGCUCUGUGGGCGGCUAGCCGGUGUCAAUACUGUACAAUGGUGCCCCCCGCCGGAUCCCGUGCUGUACAUAGGUGGACCUGACGGAUCAAAAUGUGUAGCGCUGUAUAUGUUGAAUGUGCGUCGUGUGCUGACUGAAGUUACUGCAGAUAUUUCUGAAUAUAUCCAGCUGUGUUGUU